UGUCUUAUUUUUGGGGAAACACAGUAUGUUCUUUGGUUAAUCUCUUCCUCUCCCCUCCCACUGCCCCCACCCCUGAGAUCUGAUAUUCUGUUCCAUUCAUCCAAACCUCUGACUAGUCUGAGUUUUUAAAUGCCAAAAGUAUAAAAUCCUGCCAUCUUAUUUGGGGCAUUAUCAUGCCUUGUAGCACAAAAUGAUCUUAGUGGACAAAUGGUGCCGGUCCUUCCUUUUACAGACCCAUGGAUGCAUCCCAUCCAGGUGAGGUAGCCAUCGCACAGAGGGGCCAGCCUCUCACUGGGCCUUGUGUUUCUCUCCUUCCCAAACCACAGUGCAGGUACUUAGAAGUAAGUGUGUGAAGCAAAAAAUAAACAAACAUGGGGACAUCUUGGCUUUGAAUGGCGGUCAUAGUGGUGAUACAGAGAAAAAUCUUUAUGAUGAGUUUGGAUGAGAAAAGGCUAGAGGCAUUUUGGUGAAAGUAGCAGGAUAGUAAGAAGCCAGGCAAAUUCCUUGACAGGAAUAAAGAAACAG